GGCAGCCCAGAGCCACGGACGAGCUCUGUGAGGACGAGCCGCAGGCCCGCUGCUGUGGCCGGGAGUCCCGGCCCCUUUGUUCGCCAGAAACCAUUUAAAAAGCCAGUCCCAGCACGCAUGCGGGGUGCAGGGAGAGCUAGGGGGACAGUGGCCGGCGGGGCGUAGCGCUCCCUUUCAACCGCGCGGCCCCAGUUUUCAGGCUCUGGGCCUAACAGUAACCCAACAGAGACUAAGGAGAAAAACCCCGCCCCUGCGGCGGAGCGACGCUGGGGCUGCGCGGGUCCCUAGCAGGUGGCCCAAGCUGCCUGGCUGUCCCCACUUGGCAUGGAAGGAAGGAGGGACUCGGGCCGACUUCCUGAAGGCACAUUC
rnacentral:lncRNA from 1 species